GACAGAGGGUGCAAACGUUGCUCGGAAUUACUGGGCGUAAAGCGCGUGUAGGCGGUUCCGCAAGUCAGGUGUGAAAGCCCAGGGCUCAACCCUGGAAGUGCACUUGAUACUACGGAGCUGGAGUACUGAAGAGGAGAGCGGAAUUCCCGGUGUAGCAGUGAAAUGCGUAGAUAUCAGGAGGAACACCGAUGGCGAAGGCAGGUCUCUGGGCUGACACUGACGCUCAUGCACGAAAGCGUGGGGAGCAAACAGG
rnacentral:rRNA from 1 species